GUUUUAGUGGCCUAAUGGUUAAGGCGUUGGUUUUCGGCGACAGCAUUUGCUUGUUCUGCUACACACCAAAGAUUGGGAGUUCGAAUCUUCCCGCGGUAUG
rnacentral:tRNA from 1 species